UUGGAACCGGACCUCCGGGAAGAUGGGCGGGACCUGUACUGCGACCCCGCGGGAGAAAGAUGAACGGGAUGCGGAGCUGGUGUACCCUAGUAGACGUGCACCCGGAGGAUCAGACCUCGGCGGGCAGGAAGACCUAUGCCGUGGUGUCUGGCCACUCAGCUGGCCAUUCUCUAGCCUCAGAACUGGUGGAGUCCCAUGAUGGUCAUGAGGAGAUCAUUAAGGUAUACUUGAAAGGGAGGUCUGGAGACAGAAUGACCCACGAGAAGAACAUUAACCAGCUGAAGAGUGAGGUCCAGUAUAUCCAGGAGGCCAGGAACUGUCUGCAGAAGCUCCGGGAGGAUAUAAGUAGCAAGCUUGACAGGGAUCCAGGAGAUUCUCUCCAUCAACAGGAGAUACAGGUGGUGCUAGAAAAGCCAAAUGGCUUUAGCCAGAGUUCUCCAACCCUGUACAGCAGCCCACCUGAGGUGGACGCCUAUGUAAAUGAGGAUGUUGAGAGCCUGAGGAACACUGUGCAAGACUUGCUUGCCAAGCUGCAGGAGGCUGAGCAGCAACACCGGUCAGACCGUGUGGCUUUUGAGGUCACAUUAAGCCGGUACCAGAGAGAAGCAGAACAGAGUAAUGUGGCCCUUCAGAGAGAGGAGGACAGAGUGGAGCAGAAAGAGGCAGAAGUUGGGGAGCUGCAGAGACAUCUGUUGGGGAUGGAGACGGAGCAACAGGCUUUACUGGUGAAAGUCAGGGAAGGGGAGAUGGCCCUGGAGGAACUUUGGAGCAAGAACGCUGACUGCCAAGCAGAACAAGAGAAGGCUGCUACCCUGGAAAAGGAAGUGGCUGGCUUGCGGGAGAAGAUCCAUCACUUGGAUGACAUGCUCAAGAGGCAGCAGCGGAAAGUCCGGCAGAUGAUCGAACAGCUCCAGAAUUCGAAAGCCGUGAUCCAGUUGAAGAACACCACCAUCCAGGAGCUCAAGGAGAAAAUCGCCUAUCUGGAGGCAGAGAAUUUAGAGAUGCAUGACCGGAUGGAACACCUGAUUCAAAAACAAAUCAGUCAUGGCAACUUCAGCACCCAGGCCCGGGCCAAGACAGAGAACCCUGACAGUAUUAGGAUAUCCAAGCCCCCCAGCCCGAAGCCCAUGCCUGUCAUCCGAGUGGUGGAAACCUGAGCUGCCUGCAGAUGGCUGCUGUGUUGGUGCUGCUUCCUGCCUGCGGAGAAGCCCACCGCCCUGUUGGUAUUAGCACUGACUUUAACUUCUGGACUGUUCCCUGGCUGCACUCAGGGCUCGGGCUCCUGUGGCCCAUUCCCAA